rnacentral:rRNA from 1 species
CCUACGGGUGGCAGCAGUGAGGAAUAUUGGUCAAUGGGCGCGAGCCUGAACCAGCCAAGCAGCGUGAAGGAUGACUGCCCUACGGGUUGUAAACUUCUUUUAUAAAGGAAUAAAGUGAGGCACGUGUGCCUUUUUGUAUGUACUUUAUGAAUACGGAUAGGCUAACUCCGUGCCAGCAGCCGCGGUAAUACGGAGGAUCCGAGCGUUAUCCGGAUUUAUUGGGUUUAAAGGGAGCGUAGAUGGGUUGUUAAGUCAGUUGUGAAAGUCUGCGGCUCAACCGUAAAAUUGCAAUUGAUACUGGCAGCCUUGAGUACAGUAGAGGAAGGCGGAAUUCGUGGUGUAGCGGUGAAAUGCGUAGAUAUCACGAAGAACUCCGAUUGCGAAGGCAGCUUACUAAACUGCCACUGACAUUGAUGCUCGAAAGUGUGGGUAUCAAACAGGAUUAGAUACCCGAGUAGUC